CACUGCUUCUGAAAGACAGCCUGUGAGAUGCCAAGGAGUCAUCUGGCAGAGCUGGGAGAUGCGGCCUUUUCUUUGGAUCCUGUCAAUGGCAAACCACCAAAGCUGGUGCAUUGGUGUGGUAGCCCUGCUGUGUUCACGGAAGAAUUCCAACCGACGCCAGAUACGACAACCCGACUCAACUCACUAGGGGUUUGGAGCCUAUGGAAAUGAAUCAGAACCAGAUACCCGGCUUCCUAGGAAGCCGUGAACUUUGAUCUCCGUCCCUGUCCCGGAAUCCUUUGUAUUAGCGUCUUAGCUUUGAUUCUGCCGAAUGUCUGUUCUCACCUAGUCGCUAUAUGCAUACCUGAGUUGCCUCUAUGUACUCACCUAGUUGUUAUAUGCAUACCUGAGUUGCCUCUUGUAUAAAUAUCCCGUUUCACUAAGUAAAGAUUACGCCUUGAUGAGAA